rnacentral:rRNA from 1 species
GACAGAGGGUGCAAACGUUGUUCGGAAUUACUGGGCAUAAAGCGCACGUAGGUGGUCCGCUAAGUCGCGUGUGAAAUCCCUCGGCUCAACCGAGGAAUUGCGGGCGAUACUGGCGGGCUAGAGAUCGGGAGGGGUGAGUGGAACUCCAGGAGGAGCGGUGAAAUGCGUAGAUAUCUGGAGGAACACCGGUGGCGAAAGCGACUCACUGGCCCGACACUGACACUGAGGUGCGAAAGCUAGGGUAGCAAACGGG